AACUUUUGGCAAUGGAUCUCUUGGUUCUCGCAUCGAUGAAGAACGCAGCGAAGCGCGAUAGGUAUUGUGAAUUGCAGAAUUCAGUGAAUCAUCGAAUCUUUGAACGCACCUUGCGCCCCUUGGUAUUCCGAGGGGCAUGCCUGUUUGAGUGUCAUUAAAUUCUCAACCCUGGUAUCUUUUUCAGGGCUUGGACUUGGAGUGUGCUGGCAUCUGAUCGGCUCCUCUCAAAUGCAUCGGCGGAAUUGAACCUUUGGUGUCCGUGUGUCAGUGUGAUAAUUAACGUUGCGCUGUCAUCGGUCAUGGAAGUCCGCUUAUAAUGGUCUUCGGACGAACUCUUAUAUCAAAUUUGACCUCAAAUCAGGUAGGACUACCCGCUGAACUUAAGCAUAUCAAUAAGCGGAGGCU
rnacentral:misc_RNA from 1 species